rnacentral:hammerhead_ribozyme from 1 species
AUCCAACUGAUGAGUCCUAAAUAGGACGAAGUUCGCGUCCUGGAU